rnacentral:rRNA from 1 species
UACGUAGGGUGCAAGCGUUAAUCGGAAUUACUGGGCGUAAAGCGUGCGCAGGCGGCUCUGCAAGUCAGAUGUGAAAUCCCCGGGCUCAACCUGGGAACUGCAUUUGUGACUGCAGGGCUAGAGUACGGUAGAGGGGGAUGGAAUUCCGCGUGUAGCAGUGAAGUGCGUAGAUAUGCGGAGGGACACCGAUGGCGAAGGCAAUCCCCUGGACCUGUACUGACGCUCAUGCACGAAAGCGUGGGGAGCAAACAGG